rnacentral:rRNA from 1 species
GGACUACUGGGGUAUCUAAUCCUGUUUGCUCCCCACGCUUUCGCACCUCAGCGUCAGUACCGGACCAGUGAGCCGCCUUCGCCACUGGUGUUCCUCCGAAUAUCUACGAAUUUCACCUCUACACUCGGAAUUCCACUCACCUCUUCCGGACUCGAGAUACCCAGUAUCAAAGGCAGUUCCGGGGUUGAGCCCCGGGAUUUCACCCCUGACUUAAGUAUCCGCCUACGUGCGCUUUACGCCCAGUAAUUCCGAACAACGCUAGCCCCCUUCGUAUUACCGCGGCUGCUGGCAC